rnacentral:tRNA from 1 species
AGGGAUAUAGCUUAACGGUAGAGCUGUGUGCUUAACGUGCACUAGGUCCUGGGUUCAAUCCCCGGCACCUCCA